AUUUACAGCCAUACCACCCUGAGCACGCCUGAUCUCAUCUGAUGUCAGAAGCUAAGCAGGGUCUGGCCUCAUUAGUGCUCGGACGGGAGACCACCUGGGAAUACCAGGUGUUGUAAACU
rnacentral:rRNA from 1 species